AUGAAUGAUCUCAUUUUGGCUUUGAUUUAUCUCUUUGGAGCUUUCAGAAGUUUAAGAAUAUUUAUGUUGGCAAUGAGUUGUCAAACAGCAACACGGGCAAUGGGUAAAUUAAUUCGCUCGCCAGUGAGCUAAAUGUAUUGGUGGCACCAUAACUAACAAUAAUAAAUGACAUAUAAUGGAGCCACAAGAGGACGCUAUCUGGUGCUUCCGCAAGACAUCGUUUGUAUCGCCUUAUUAGUCAUCUUGCUCAUUAGGCCACUGUGGGGCGUUUGGUGCUGGCAGCUUUAAAGACUUCAAAUGGUGUACCUUCAGGAAAUCGUCUACGUGUAGUGUUCAGUCGGUGCAUUCUCAGGAGCUGUUCUCCAGCAGCACAGCCUGCACUCCAAGCUUCUGCUGCACCGCUGCCUCGAGCUCCGGGGAUGGGGCGCAUGCGCCUGCCGCUUCGCUCCGGGCCCUGUGACUGAGCCGGCCUUUGAUUGACAGGUUGAAGGACGAGGCGCGGGCACGUGCCGGCGCUCGCUCCCGCCGCCGCUCCCGCAGCGUCUCCCCUCCCCUCCCCUCCCCCCCCCAUCCCCCUGGUCCUGGUCCAGGGCCCGCACCUCGGCGUUACCCCGCCAGCGAACAUGGCGGCGCUCAGCCCGGAGCCCGCAGUGGGGCGGCUCCGAGCGGGCGCCCAGCUCUCGGUCACGGUGGAACACGUCGUCAGCGGCACCUUGGUGGUGUCCACCAACUUCGGAGGGAGCAGCUUCACCGGGAUCCUGAUAGAUAUGGCCAAGAAGUCUGGUUUGUAUGGUGUUCUCCCAAGCCAGUUUGCCAAGCAAGAGGAGUUUGCCGCCAAUUCGUGUGCCAGUGACGUUCUUGAUGGAAAAGAACAGGCAGUGUGUCAAACUGAGUCGCAGCUCUGCAACAUGCAAGUUUCCAACACAUUAGGCAGAGAACAAAUUUCACCUAUUCAGCCAUUACCAGAAACUGUGCCUUGCUUUCCACCUUAUUGCGAAGGUGUACCUCUACCACAGCCAUUAGUAUUGAGACAGACUUACAAUCAAUGGGUUCCCCAGCCACCACCUCGGACAAUCAAGCGUACAAAAAGACGCCUGUCAAGGAAUCGCGAUCCUGGUAAGCUUAUAAUGAGCACCAUCAGACUGCGACCAAGGCAGGUACUUUGUGAAAAGUGCAAAAACACACUAAAUCAGGAGGAGGAUGAUGAUGACAAAGAUAGACACAACAGUAAGAAUGAGAAAAAAUCUAGCAUGGAGGAAAAUGAAAAGAGAAAACCUGAGGUAAUGUGCUGUGAAAAUAGGAAAAUAAAAAAGGAAAAGAAAGAUGAUAAAUUUUCUGGUGAGCUGGUACAUCGAAGCCCUGUGAUAAAAAUAUCAUAUAGCACUCCUCAAGGUAAGGGAAAAGUUGUAAAAAUUCCCUCACGGGUACAUGGUUCAGUUGAGCCCUUUUGUCCUAAAAGGUUAUUGCAAAAUGAAAGUGUGGACCAGGACAAGAAUGCAAAUUGUGAGGAAAUGGAGGUUCUUCCAGAAAAGUCAUUCUCUAGUCCACCUGGAACCAUUCCAAAGCUAAAACUGACUAGACCGUUGCAUUCCAGCGCAGACAUCCCACCACCUAGAAUUCGGUUAAAACCUCAUCGGCUCAGUAAUGGGGACAGUGUUGCAAUUUAUAAGGCUGAGCUUGUAGAUAAUGUAAAUAGCAAUGCACAGCCUAAAAGGAGAUCAGAUAAUGGUACACUUCAUUCUGAAGAAUCUACAGGAAAGAGUUCAGUAGAGACGUCAGGGAGUUCUGGGGAGGAGGACCAAUGGCGGUACAAGAGGAGUCGUCGAAGCAAGGAUCAAGAUGAUCUGACUGUGUAUUUAAGUUAUAGGAAAAAAAGAGCAGAUUCGUCUAGUUUAUCAGUCUGUAGUAAUGAUAGUUUAGAUGAAUCGAAGUCUUCUAGUUCAGAGAUGACUUCGCCAGAAGUAUGUGAUUUUGCACCUGGAGAUGAUGCUUCUGUGUCGUCGUCUUCCAAAGAAGAAAAGACAGUGCCUCCUUUAACUGUGAGACUUCACACCAAAACUGUAAUGAAAUGUGUAACAGCUGAAGGCAGGACUAUAUCUGUUGGAGAUAUAGUAUGGGGGAAAAUUCAUGGCUUCCCCUGGUGGCCUGCCCGCGUUCUCAGCAUUAGUAUUAACAAGAAGGAAAAUGGGGCUCCACAAUGGCAGGAAGCCAGAGUGUCUUGGUUUGGAUCACCUACAACAUCGCUACUUUCUGUAUCAAAAAUCUCCCCAUUUUUGGAAUAUUUUAAAUUGAGGUUUAACAAAAAGAAAAAAGGAGUGUACCGCAGGGCGAUUACGGAAGCUGCCAAGGCAGCUGAUCACCUGACACCUGAAAUUCGAUCUCUUCUUUCACAAUAUGAAACUUAACUGAGCAGCAGCAACAGAAGAUCUACUGUAUCGAUAGAAUAGAAGAAUGGGUAGAAGAAAGAAGCGGCGAAACAUAAUUGUAUCUGAUAGGCAACGAUCACAAGACUGACUCUUUAACUCAGUUUUUGAUUUGAAAUGACUGAAAGUUUGCAUGGAACGAGCGCGAUCAACUGACUUCUUAAGAAAGCAAAACUGUAGUUGCAAGGGAAAAUGUGAACCUUGAAUAGCUGAAGAUCAGGGGAAAGAUGAGUGGAUAUCCUUCCCAUGUUUUAACUGUCUCUGAGCUUCAACUAAUAUUCCAUUUUGUAUGGCAAUUACAUGGCUGUUGGAUCCUGGUGAAUUCUACCAAGUUAUCUUGAAGGACUGAGCUUGAGCUGUGACAAGCAAGAGAAAGGAUCAAGCAGAAGGAAGUCUGACUUUUCUUUUGGACUGUUAAUGGCUAUGAUGUAGCCCAUAUUCUUAUGGGUGGACAGUGAAUGUUAUAAUUUGGAAUGUAACUAUUUAAGUCACUGUUUUCAUUGUCUGAGAUUGGUUUCAAUUGAAUAAAUUACUGCAAAAAAAUUCCAGGGUGAAUAAUCGACAAAGACUAGAGCCUUUUUUAUUUUGAUUCAAAUGAUUUUUUAAAAUUAUAUAGUGCAGUAGUUUUAAUGCAGUGAACAUAACAUGUCUUUAAAUACUGCAGAUGACUAUUUGUCUCAAUGGUUACGAGACAUUUUGGGUGUUUUUUUUUUUUGUAACUUCAUUGGCAUUUAGCAGCAUAUCAUUAUCAGUGCACUAGAUGCAAGGCUUGCAAAAUGCUAAUGUUACCUCUUCUCCAGCAUUCACUGGAACUGUACCCAAUGAACAAGUAAUGCUGAACAAUAACUUAUUGUUAAUUAUAAAAUAAUUUAAAGCAGUUCAAUGGUAUAGUAAAUCGAAGUUGUAAUACAAAUUUACCAUAGGGAAAAGUUACUUAAAAUGAACCGUUACUAAGAAGAACCCAUAGACUAACAUGUUGGCCCUUCCAUUUGCUCUCAAGCAAUAUCAUGGAUAGCAUUAACCUGUAUCUUUAAUCAUGUCAUCUUUCAGUGUAUCAAUUCAAACUAACUUUAGUGGCUUUCUUUAAGGUAUUUUGAACACUGAUGCUGAAGUAAUUGAGCAAGCCAUGAUAUUAAGUUUAAAUGUGCUAUUAACAGCAUUGGACAUUGCAUAACAGGUUGUGUUAGAAGAUGCAAAUGUAAUCCAGGCCACUGUAGAUCAGUAGAGCUGUUCUAUUGUUUGUUCCACCAUUGCAUUUUCACUUCCAGUCCUAUUAUGUGCAGGAAGUUUACCAAAAACUGAAGUGCUUCCAUAGAAAUAAGCCAAAAUUAAUUUAACGGGGAGGAAAAUGCAGUUCAAAGAAAAUCAGGCCAUGUGAAGAUUGUUUGCAUAAUAUCUGACUUGGUGAAAGGAUUAACAAUUUUGAGGAAUGCAUUGCUUUUAUCUUUUGAAGGGUGUCUCCAAUAUGUUAUGAACCUUUACAGUGAAAUUCACUAUGAUUGAGCCAAGUUUCUUUAAAGAAGCAGUGAUUUAUUCCAUCAUUACUGAAAAGACAAUACCUGCAAGAAUACUGGUGUCUUUACCUUGUCUAUGCUGCAAAACAGCCCUUUAGAGCACUUAAACACUAUCAGUUGGUAAGUGUACCUUUGGAUCCACAUAAAUCCAGCACUAUACUUUUUCAGUUUUUGGUCAAGUGUGGUGUUUGCAACUAUAUAAUUGAAAUUGGCAGCCUGACAGGUAGGAGUGAAAAUUUGAUCCUUUUGCAAAAUGCUUGUGUGCUAACAUCAAACAAAUUAGGUUCAGACUAGAACAUGUACAGAAGGAUGUUUGCAGUUCUGGAGGUUGCUGAAUCCUUGUGGAAUUGCAUUGAAGCAUGAGCUGAUACCUUCAGAAGGGCAAAGGUGAAUCCAAGAAAUGGAGUGGAAAUGUUUUCCAAAACAAUUAUUUUGUAUGCAUGCAUGGAGUUAAUGGAUCAGUUGUUCUCUACUGUUAUUUUGUUGGAGCAGCGCAUCAUGUUGCAUGUAGGUGCAUUCCAGACAAAAUGUCCACCUGUAUUCAUUAUGAGCAUUUAGAAGAACUGAGCAGACAACUUUGAAAAGUAUGGAAUAAUUCAAUUUUUUUUUGUUAAUUUCAGGUAUAUAUAUCUAGGGAACCAGAGACUUGUCCAAAGAUGCUACCAGCAUUUCCCCAUGUAAGCCAAUUCUUGUCUCAAAAUUCUGUUUUGGGGUGUUCAAAGAAACCUGAAUGAGAGCAGAUAUAUUAGAUUUGCAGAUCUUCAGUGUAACGGACUUUUUUUCUGUACAGUUUGUCAACCUGUUCCUGCAAAAACUUGUUUCAUCUUUUUUUCAUCUUAAUUGUUUCCAGUACCUUCUGAGAAGGAAUGUUUAACAAACUCUUAUUGUAGUACAGUUGCAAAAGAACUGCGUUUAUCUUAUUUAUAACCCCAGUUUCAAAAAUCACAUGCUUGUUCGUACUUCUGGUGAAAUCACUUUUUAGCGUGCAAAGUGGUUUUAGCAGUAAAAACAUGGCUGCUGCUUCCUUUACUGGAAUAAUUCUUCCUUGUGCUAAUAGUGAAGCCUUAAGAGCUUAUAUUUGGGUGGGGCGUGGGGAAGAGAGAUAAAAAAUUAAAUCCUGCAUGUACAAUAGCUUUCAUCCAUCAGUUUACCAAAUUGUUUACAAGAGUUGAUGCAGAUGAUAGGUGCCUUCCUACUUAUACAGGGACAACUUCAACCAGUGGCUGCUGCCAACUAUAAUCAUUUUUAGUGACGACUCUGCUUUAUGGUGGUGUGGAGACAGAAGAUUGGACUCCUGUGUACACUUGUGAAGCCAUAAGACCCAUUGUUAUGUUGAACAACACAUUUUAGAUUUAAAAAACCAAUCUGCUGUCAUUUGAUUAAUUUCAUUUUCUUAGGAAAAUUGAAUGCUGAGGUAAAGCUCUGCCUUGCUUAUUGACAGUUUUGUUUGCCUAAACACUGGAGAGUUCCACUGUGUUAGAAUCUACUCUGAUAACAAGAUGGUAAAAGGCUGCUGCAGGCAAUUGACUUGUGUGUAUGGCUCUCAAUGGUUAUAGAUAGCAGAGCAAACCAACUGGAUUUAGGUAAAAUGCAGAAUUAAAAGACUCCUUGGAGUCACUUACAAGCUGUGGCAUGUGAGGGACAGCAUAGAACCUCAACUUCAAUGACCCUGCACUGAAAAUGUCAGCCUCAAUUGGAUUUGAUUUCCUGGGUUGUAAACUGCAGUGAAUGAUAAUAGAUUAUAUACUCUACAGGAGAUUUUUUUAAAGUGAUUGUAGCAAUGAAUUUUAAAAUGUGCUCUGCUGUACUUGUAAACGCUAGUGAAUUGUAUUCAGUCUUUGUAUGACUUGCUUUACAACAGAUUGACAUUGUGUAUUUACUAGUGCACUUCCACCGUACAAACUGCUGAUGUAUUGGGAGUAGCAACAAGAUAAAAAGUUAAUCAGCAAUAAAGUCUAUUGAAACUC